rnacentral:rRNA from 1 species
AAAAAGCUUCCAGAAUAAGGGCUGGGCAAGACCGGUGCCAGCCGCCGCGGUAACACCGGCAGCUCGAGUGGUGGCCGCUUUUAUUGGGCCUAAAGCGUUCGUAGCCGGCCUGAUAAGUCUCUGGUGAAAUCCCGCAGCUUAACUGUGGGAAUUGCUGGAGAUACUGUCUGGCUUGAGGCCGGGAGAGGCUGGAGGAACUCCCAGGGUAGGGGUGAAAUCCUGUAAUCCUGGAAGGACCACCUGUGGCGAAGGCGUCUAGCUGGAACGGACCUGACGGUGAGUAACGAAAGCCAGGGGCACGAACCGGAUUAGAUACCCGGGUAGUCCUGGCCGUAAACGAUGUUCGACUUGGUGUUGGAAUGGCUCCGACCGUGCUCCAGUGCCGAAGGGAAGCUGUUAAGCCCACCGCCUGGGAAGUACGGUCGCAAGACUGAAACUUAAAGGAAUUGGCGGGGG